CAGGCCUAACACAUGCAAGUCGAGCGGUAACACAGGGAGCUUGCUCCUGGGUGACGAGCGGCGGACGGGUGAGUAAUGUCUGGGAAACUGCCCGAUGGAGGGGGAUAACUACUGGAAACGGUAGCUAAUACCGCAUAACGUCGCAAGACCAAAGAGGGGGACCUUCGGGCCUCUUGCCAUCGGAUGUGCCCAGAUGGGGUUAGCUAGUAGGUGGGGUAAUGGCUCACCUAGGCGACGAUCCCUAGCUGGUCUGAGAGGAUGACCAGCCACACUGGAACUGAGACACGGUCCAGACUCCUACGGGAGGCAGCAGUGGGGAAUAUUGCACAAUGGGCGCAAGCCUGAUGCAGCCAUGCCGCGUGUAUGAAGAAGGCCUUCGGGUUGUAAAGUACUUUCAGCGAGGAGGAAGGCAUUAAGGUUAAUAACCUUAGUGAUUGACGUUACUCGCAGAAGAAGCACCGGCUAACUCCGUGCCAGCAGCCGCGGUAAU
rnacentral:rRNA from 1 species